CAGUAUAGUCAAAAGAAGGUGUUUGAGUGAGUCUUCUGCUGAUCACAGUAUGAAGUAGGGUUUAAGAGGGUGGCAGAGUUUCUUCAGACCCCUGCUGGUCAUAGCGAAGAAAAGCAAAUUCUGCAAAUCCAAUUGACUUAACACUGCAGAGGGUUUAUCCCUAUUGUUAAUUGUAUUAACCUACAAAAGGAUUGGAGGAUUAAUUAGAAAUAAGGACCAGGAGAUGAAGUGAAGAUUCUCAGGGGAGACACCACUAUGUAUUAUCCUGGAACUGUGUAAUUAUUUGAUUUCUUACUAUUAGAGAGUAGCACCCUUACCUGAAUGUAACCUUAAUCGCCUCUUCUUUUAUUCUUAGCUUUGUGUUUUUGAACAGAUUGCUAAUUGUAUUCCAAACCUGAACCACCUACUGAAGACCUGCAGAAAAAGAAGUGGAAGAAUUCUGAGUGUCCUAAUUUGAGAGGAGGUUAUAGCACAAUAUUAUUAAGAUCAAACUGCCUCUCACCUCAAAUCAAGAAGAAAACCACUCUGCUUUGACUAAAGCCAGCACUGAAAAUUGCUCUGCCAAGAAUGCAGACCAUGGCAGGUUUCACGUGACAUUCAACCCACAGAGAAAGACAAAACAAAGAGCUUCUUGACUUAUU
rnacentral:lncRNA from 1 species